rnacentral:rRNA from 1 species
CAGCAGCCGCGGUAAUGCGAAGGGUGCAAGCGUUAAUCGGAAUUACUGGGCGUAAAGCGUGCGUAGGCGGUUUGUUAAGUCUGUUGUGAAAUCCCCGGGCUCAACCUGGGAAUGGCAAUGGAUACUGGCAAGCUAGAGUGUGUCAGAGGAUGGUGGAAUUCCCGGUGUAGCGGUGAAAUGCGUAGAGAUCGGGAGGAACAUCAGUGGCGAAGGCGGCCAUCUGGGACAACACUGACGCUGAGGCACGAAAGCGUGGGGAGCAAACAGGAUUAGAUACCCCAGUAGUCCCUGUCUCUUAUAC